UACAGAGGGUGCAAGCGUUAAUCGGAAUUACUGGGCGUAAAGCGCGCGUAGGUGGUUCGUUAAGUUGGAUGUGAAAUCCCCGGGCUCAACCUGGGAACUGCAUUCAAAACUGUCGAGCUAGAGUAUGGUAGAGGGUGGUGGAAUUUCCUGUGUAGCGGUGAAAUGCGUAGAUAUAGGAAGGAACACCAGUGGCGAAGGCGACCACCUGGACUGAUACUGACACUGAGGUGCGAAAGCUAGGGGAGCAAACGGG
rnacentral:rRNA from 1 species